AGUGAACGCUGGCGGCAGGCCUAAUACAUGCAAGUCGAACGGCAGCACAGUGGAGCUUGCUCCAUGGGUGGCGAGUGGCGGACGGGUGAGGAAUACAUGGGAAUCUGCCCAGUCGUGGGGGAUAACGUAUGGAAACGUACGCUAAUACCGCAUGCGCCCUUGGGGGAAAGUCGGGGACCGCAAGGCCUGACGCGAUUGGAUGAGCCCAUGUUCGAUUAGCUAGUUGGCGGGGUAACGGCCCACCAAGGCGACGAUCGAUAGCUGGUCUGAGAGGAUGAUCAGCCACACUGGAACUGAGACACGGUCUAGACUCCUACGGGAGGCAGCAGUAGGGAAUAUUGGACAAUGGGCGCAAGCCUGAUCCAGCCAUGCCGCGUGAGUGAAGAAGG
rnacentral:rRNA from 1 species